rnacentral:rRNA from 1 species
ACACCGGCAGCUCUAGUGGUAGCUGUUUUUAUUGGGCCUAAAGCGUUCGUAGCCGGUUUGAUAAGUCACUGGUGAAAUCCUGUAGCUUAACUGUGGGAAUUGCUGGUGAUACUGUUGAACUUGAGGUCGGGAGAGGUUAGCGGUACUCCCAGGGUAGAGGUGAAAUUCUGUAAUCCUGGGAGGACCACCUGUGGCGAAGGCGGCUAACUGGAACGAACCUGACGGUGAGGGACGAAAGCUAGGGGCGCGAACCGGAUUAGAUACCCGGGUAGUCCUAGCCGUAAACGAUGCGGACUUGGUGUUGGGAUGGCUUUGAGCCGCUCCGGUGCCGAAGGGAAGCUGUUAAGUCCGCCGCCUGGGAAGUACGGUCGCAAGACUGAAACUCAAAUGAAUUGGCGGGG